AGCAUCAGUAUAAACUAAAACAGUUAACAUAUGGGCACCAUCAUGAUCCUGACAGCCUAAAAUACAGAAAUACAGCAAAGAAAAUGAAAUUUUGCCACUUGAUUUGCAGAUCUGAAAAGGCUGAUCUAGCCACAUUUUUUGUUCUGCCUUUCUUUCAAAUAGUUCACGGUGAUGUAAGCAGUACUUUCCUCUUUAGAACAAUCCUGGAAGGUUGGUUAGGCUGAGAGAAAGUGACUGGCUGAAAUAUAUCCAUGUGAAUCAGGCCUCUGGCCUACAGAAAGCACAGGAGAACUUGAUGUGAUACACUGGGAAUAAGGAACAGUGUCUAAAACGAAUGUGUCAUUUAUGUCUAAUUAAUAUAUGCAUACAGGCCCCACUGCCAUGCAUUUCCGCCAGUAAGCGCAAAUCAAGACAGCCAAAAACAUAAGGCACUUAUAAAGAAGGAAACAACCCCAGAGUAUGGCCUGGAGGCAAAUGAGGCCAGCAGCUUGCGGAAGCUAAUCAUGUCUGGGUCUGCCUGGAUGUGAGAUUGCCUGGAAGCUGCAUGUAUGCUAUCUUGGGUCCCAUGACCAAAGAACGGAUGGAUACGAGUGCAAAAAAAGAAGAUAAAAUCAGUUUUCUAAAGGAAACAAUUGUCAGGCUUUAGCCAAGCUCAGGGAAAGGUCACAGUUCUGGUGGCCCAGUUCUAAUGCAGGGAGGCUGAGGCCCAAAGAGCAAAAAGCAGGCUGCAAAGUUUAAAACGGGCCCAUGUUUAGGAUCAAGGGUAAGUAGACAAGCAUCCGGGAAGGCUGGAGUGAGCUGGCUGCCAAGAUGAGCAUCAUCCUCUGAUGUCCUAUUACUCCUACUGAGGCGGCGACUUCGAUUUUAUAGGGCCUGGUGGGUUCUGAUUGGCUUCUGUGGGUCAGCUGACAGUAUCCAGGCCACUAGAGGAGCCCAGAAGGCAGCCUUGGUCCACAGAGUUUAGUUGUCUGGCCUGCUGAGGAUUCAGGAUGCUGUUUGUGGAGGAAGACCUGGGGUGUUUUCCAGAAAGGGAGCUGCAUCCAUGUGGCUAACGAGGGCCUUUGUGACAUUAGAGAAGAUCCUGCAUCAAGAGAAAGAUCAAUAGGCUUUGCAAAGAAGAAGGAACAUUGUGAAGGAAAGGGGUAGUGGGAACACAGCAUGGCAGGGGCCAAGCGAAAAAGGAAAAAUGCCAUCUGGAGAAAGAUCCAUGCACUUCGCUACGAAGACUUCAAACUGUGGUGUGUAAGGAGGCUCCCUGUUCUGGAGUGGGCGCCAAACUACAACUGGAAAGCAGACCUGCUUCCUGACACAAUUUCUGGGAUGAUGCUGGCUGUUCAGCAGGUGACUCAAGGGCUUGCCUUUGCUGUUCUCUCUUCAGUGCAUCCUGUGUUUGGCUUAUAUGGAUCUCUCUUCCCUGUUAUUAUUUAUGCCAUAUUUGGAAUGGGACGCCACGUUGCCACAGGAACCUUUGCUUUGACCUCCUUGAUAUCAGCAAAUGCUGUUGAGCGUCUUGUUCCUCCCAUGAGCAGCAACUUCACAGCAAACAAUAACUCCACUGUCUUGGGAUUAUCUGAGUUUGAGAUGCAGAGGAUUGGAGUUGCUGCAGCAGUUUCAUUAUUAGGAGGACUCAUUCAAGUAGCAAUGUUUGUGCUGCACUUGGGCAGUGCCACCUUCUUGCUCACGGAGCCGGUGAUAAGCGCAAUGACGACGGGAGCAGCUACGCACGUCGUGACUUCACAAGUCAAGUACCUCUUGGGAAUGAAAAUGCCGUAUAUAUCGGGACCCCUGGGAUUCUUUUAUAUUUAUGCCUACAUCUUUGAAAACAUCAAGUCCAUUCAGUUGGAAGCUUUGCUGCUCUCUGUGCUGAGCAUUGUGAUUCUCGUUCUUGUUAAAGAACUGAACGAAAAGUUUAAAGGGAAAAUCAAGGUGGUUCUUCCUAUUGAUUUGGUUUUGAUAGUUGCUACCUCUGCUGCCUGCUACUAUGCUGAUAUGAAGCACAGCUAUGGCAUGGAAGUUGUGGGACAUAUUCCAGAAGGCAUACCACUGCCAAGGUCUCCACCCAUGAAUAUCCUCCCUGAAGUCAUCACAGAGGCAUUUGGAGUGGCAUUGGUUGGCUAUGUAGCUUCACUAGCCCUCGCCCAGGCCUCUGCUAAGAAGUUCAACUACUCUGUGGAUGAUAACCAGGAGUUCUUGGCUCAUGGCCUCAGCAAUGUGAUCCCAUCCUUUUUCUUCUGCAUACCCAGUGCAGCAGCCAUGGGCCGUACUGCUCUCCUGUUCAGCACUGGAGCAAAAACACAGGUGGCUUGCCUAAUAUCUUGCAUAUUGGUGCUUGUGGUCAUCUAUGCAGUAGGACCAAUGCUAUACUGGCUGCCCAUGUGCGUUCUAGCAAGUAUCAUUGUGGUGGGGCUGAAGGGGAUGCUGGUGCAGUUCCGUGACUUAAAAAAGUAUUGGAAUGUGGAUAAAAUAGACUGGAGUAUAUGGGUUAGCACUUACAUAUUUACAAUUUGUUUUGCUGCUAAUGUGGGAUUGCUGUACGGCGUAGUCUGCACAAUACUUAUAGUGGUUUUCCGUUUCCCAAGAGCAACGACUCUGAGCCUGAAACAUAUGAAAGAAGUGGAAUGCAGAUUCAAAACAGAAGCAGAUUCUGAGUCCUUACAACCAGUAAAAAUUGUCUCGGUGAAUAACCCACUCGUCUUUCUGAAUGCUAAGAAGUUUCACAUGGACAUAUUAAAAAUAAUCCAGAAGGAAAGCACGUGUGCACAGCAGCUACCUGAAGAUAUGAACAAGUAUGAACAGAACACAUUGCUCAGCCCAUUAUCCAAUGGAAAUUGCCAUGGUGAAUCAUCGUUACAGCAAUGGCCCAGCGAAAGACAUUUCCUAAUACUUGACUGCAGUGGCCUGACUUUCUUUGACUACACUGGCAUCUCUGUGCUUACUCAGAUCUACACGGAAUCUAAAAAAAGAAACAUUGAUGUUUUACUGGCAAAUUGCAAAGGCAAGUAUCAGUUUUUGGUGAGCAUAAAUUUUAAAAAUUAACUUUCCCGGGUGUCGUUCCUCUCUUUUAAAGUGCGCACAUUCCUGUCUUACUACAGCUUCCUUGAUAAAGGCGUUGAAGCUCAGCGGAAAGCUGGAAUCCGAGAAUGCCGUCUUCUUUGAAUCGGUGUCAUCAGCUGUUGGUGCCAUUCAGUUGAACAAGAAUUUCUGCAAGCUUAAUGAACACACUGAGGUCUGAAGCUGACCUGAUAUAGAUAUAUUGAACCGCUUACCUACAGAAAGAACUUUGCCGGUGUUUCGUCAGAUCUUCAAACAUGGGAUUUUGAUGGUGAUAAUUGUAUGCCAAGUCUAUUUAACAAAUCCAACAUCAACAGUGUUUACUGUCAAAACGUUCCUGGAGGUAUCUCUUUGAGUUACCAGCAAUGACAGUUUUUUAAAAAAUAAAAAUAAAAAUGUUAUUUGAUUGCUACAUAUUUUUGUAUGCAUUUAGAUAAAUAAUAAUAAUUAGAAAGCAAUUUAGGACAUUUCAGUAGUGUAUAUUGUUUUGAACUCUGUCCUAUUGUAACUUAGGUGUAUCAUUUUGUGCACAAGAGAAUACAACCUUACUGAAUUUUGUACUGCAGUCGCUGGUAUCUAAUCCCAAGGAUCUACAGCUUGUUACAUGGAAACACAAACUGUGAUGUCCAGAUUAUUUCUUCUUAAAUACGCAGGGCACCCAUUAGAGCAAUCCCACCAUGCCCCUUUCAUAUUCUAUCAAAACCACCAAGGUCACUGGCUAUUUUGAGUGUUACUUAUGUUCUACACUGCCGUAUGUAUCUUCUCAUGAAUUUUAAAAACAUAUUUCCAGUUAUGAACAUAGCCCCUGCUUUCCCUUCCGUUGUGAAAAGGUUUAGCAUUUGUUGUAAAAUUCUCAGGUUUGACCUAUGCUGACAGCUCCAUUGAAUUAAGUAGAAUGGUGCUAAUUUACAGUGGUCAGGGGGGUGGUCUUGUAACAGAGGGUUAUUCUGUGUCACAUUUUACAGGGAAUGGCAUGUGCUCACAUAGGUCUGUAUCUGCAUACAGAGAGGGCCAGUUUGUGGCUCUAGAUCUAAGUGCUCAGACUGAUUUUGCAAUCACAAAGGUGGGGUGGGUGGGUUAGGAUGUAACACUAAACCAUAGUGUAGUGCUACAUGCAUGAGCCUGAGGCUCAUCCUCUCCCUUCUGCACAUUCUCCUUCAAUGUAGCUAUAGCAUCCAUGUGUAUUUUAAGUUAACAGCAGUUUGUCACUUUGGGACAAGUGGUUUUUCAUCCUGGCUUGUUUGGAUAAAACUAAGCACAGUGCUGAGUUUAGACAAAGCAACAAACUCUUGUUAGCUUUAAACAGCCGGUCUCCUUCUCAUGGCCAUACUGAAGAAAGAGAAGGAUGCAGGUUUGUGCAUAGGAUGCUAAAUUAUGUUUUCGUAUUACAUCUAAACAAUGAUCGGGAGAUUCUGCAUAGAUAAGUGGAAAGCAAAAGUGCCAUUGUUUCAAAUAGUUUUUGACUAGCAGUAUUCUGCACAGUUUAUUGAAAGUGUUUCUAACCCAAUGCACAAAAGUCAGACAAAUGUCAUAGAUAUUUAAGUGGGAUUGCAAUCUUUUUUGCUUGCUAAUUACAGAUAAUUCAAGCCACAACCAAGUUUGGGCAAAAACUGGAGGACAUUAAGAAUUGUAUUUCCCCCCUCCCCCCAAUAAUAUUAUUAAUAUCUAAUCAUACAGUUUUAAUUGCUUCAGUUAAUAAAUAAGGAGAUAAAUUUCUCCAUCUGACACAAUGGAUUCUAGUGAUAGGAGGACAAUGGAGAUGUAAAUUACACUGUAUAGAUAGGAGACACAUUGAAAGUGCAGGGUGUGCAAAAUCUGACACUUUUCUCUUGGUGAAUAUUGCAGACUUUCAACAUGUUGGCAUUGCGAGUCUGGGAUCCUAAUCCACAAAAGUGGGUGCGCAGUGUUUGCAAAGCUGAUUUAAAUCAUUGCAUUGUGUUGCAUGCCUCUCAUUAUAUGCAGUUGUACAACUGUGUUCUCUAAGUAGUGCAGAUUGGAAUAAUUCUUGCAUGUCACAUUUCAUAAUUUCCUUAAUUGUGCAUCAUCUGCAUUCAAAAGCCAUAUAAAUUAAGGCAGAUCUGAACCGUUAUUACACAUUGCAUGCACAAUUGGCUUUUCAUAAAACAGAUGUGCAAUGGACACUUGUCUGAAACAGCGAGUACACAAUUUUUGCUUCAGGGGUUGAUAUUCAUGGCAUCUCUAUCAAAGUGGUGAAUUCAUCAUUCUUGCAAAAUUUAUUGUUAUUCUCUCUCCCCACCCCCCC